ACUACGGGGGGCAGCAGUGGGGAAUAUUGGGCAAUGGGCGCAAGCCUGACCCAGCAACGCCGCGUGAAGGAAGAAGGCUUUCGGGUUGUAAACUUCUUUUCUCAGGGACGAAGCAAGUGACGGUACCUGAGGAAUAAGCCACGGCUAACUACGUGCCAGCAGCCGCGGUAAUACGUAGGUGGCAAGCGUUAUCCGGAUUUACUGGGUGUAAAGGGCGUGUAGGCGGGGACGCAAGUCAGAUGUGAAAACCACGGGCUCAACCUGUGGCCUGCAUUUGAAACUGUGUUUCUUGAGUACUGGAGAGGCAGACGGAAUUCCUAGUGUAGCGGUGAAAUGCGUAGAUAUUAGGAGGAACACCAGUGGCGAAGGCGGUCUGCUGGACAGCAACUGACGCUGAGGCGCGAAAGCGUGGGGAGCAAACAGGAUUAGAUACCCUUGUAGUC
rnacentral:rRNA from 1 species